rnacentral:rRNA from 1 species
GAUGAACGCCGGCGGUAUGCCUAACACAUGCAAGUCGUACGAGAGUUUUUUAACUCUAGUGGCGGACGGGUGAGUAACACGUGAGAAUUUGCCUUUAGGAGGGGGACAACAAUUGGAAACGAAUGCUAAUACCCCAUAUGCUUUCGAGUGAAAUGGAUUUUAUCCGCCUAGAGAGAAGCUCGCGGCUGAUUAGCUUGUUGGUAAGGUAAGAGCUUACCAAGGCGACGAUCAGUAUCUGGUUUGAGAGGACGAUCAGACACACUGGAACUGAGACACGGUCCAGACUCCUACGGGAGGCAGCAGUGGGGAAUUUUCCGCAAUGGGCGAAAGCCUGACGGAGCAAUACCGCGUGAGGGAAGAAUGCCUAUGGGUUGUAAACCUCUUUUUCAGGGAGGAAUAAAAUGACGUGUACCUGAAGAAUAAGCAUCGGCUAACUCCGUG